GGGUGAAUCAUCAAUCAAUCUCCUUCCAAGCUCUACUCGUCUCGCAAACGAAAGAGCAGAUCAUAUCAGACCAGAGUGAGUUUGCAUCUGCGAGCUGCGCCAAUGGAGGGGAGAACUGCUCUCUGUUUCCUCGUCGUGCUCGCGCUUCUCGCAAGCCCUGCUCUCGCAGAACGCAAGUGCUACAAGGAGCGCUUCUACUCCAUGAUAUGCAUGAAGUGGCACUGCGCCAUGGAGUGCGUCAACCAGAGCCCGGACCUGGUGCUCAAGUCGGCCCACUGCACCACCAAGCACGUCAUCAUGCGCUACUGCAACUGCGAGAUGUGUACCAAGGAGUAGACUGCUCUGUCUACUCUGGUCGUCUAGUUAUUAGCUAGGGAGGCGUACCACCAAUAAACUAAAUCCAUAUGGAGCUAGAGAAUAAUAGUUAUUCUAGGAGUGUAUAUGCAUGUCGUCGAUGACAUGCAUGUGCAUGCAUGUUACUGGCUAGCCAGUACGCUUCAGCUUGAGCAGAUUGUGGAACUGAUCGAUCAAUAAAGAUUCUGGAUGUGAGUUCCGUUUUGUUU